rnacentral:rRNA from 1 species
CCUACGGGUGGCAGCAGUGAGGAAUAUUCGUCAAUGGGCGAGAGCCUGAACCAGCCAAGUCGCGUGAAGGAUGAAGGACCUAUGGUUUGUAAACUUCUUUUAUAUGGGAAUAAAGUGAGGAACGUGUUCCUUUUUUUAUGUACUAUAUGAAUAAGCAUCGGCUAACUCCGUGCCAGCAGCCGCGGUAAUACGGAGGAUGCGAGCGUUAUCCGGAUUUAUUGGGUUUAAAGGGUGCGUAGGUGGUUAAUUAAGUCAGCGGUGAAAGUUUGUGGCUCAACCAUAAAAUUGCCGUUGAAACUGGUUGACUUGAGUAUAUUUGAGGUAGGCGGAAUGCGUGGUGUAGCGGUGAAAUGCAUAGAUAUCACGCAGAACUCCGAUUGCGAAGGCAGCUUACUAAACUAUAACUGACACUGAGGCACGAAAGCGUGGGGAGCAAACAGGAUUAGAUACCCCAGUAGUC